rnacentral:rRNA from 1 species
CCUACGGGCGGCAGCAGUGGGGAAUCUUGGGCAAUGGAGGAAACUCUGACCCAGCAACGCCGCGUGAAUGAUGAAUGCCUUCGGAUUGUAAAGUUCUUUUCUAAGGGCAGUAGAAUGUGACGGUACCUUAGGAAUAAGCUUCUGCUAACUAUGUGACAGCAGCCGCGGUAAGACGUAGGAGGCGAGCGUUAUCCGGAAUGACUGGGUGUAAAGGGUGCGUAGGUGGUUUGGCAAGUCAGUAGCGAAAGUACGAGGCUCAACCGGAGUAUUGCAACUAAUACGGGUAGACUUGAGUACAGGAGAGGUAGGCGGAAUUCCGGGUGUAGCGGUGAAAUGCGUAGAUAUUAGGAGGAACACCGAUGGCGAAGGCGGGUUACUAGACUGUAACUGACACUGAGGCACGAAAGCGUGGGGAGCAAACAGGAUUAGAUACCCGUGUAGUC